AUGUUCAGCGCUGCUACUGCUAUCUCUCUCGGCAGCGGGGACUCUGCGAGGUUCUGGACGGACAAUUGGCUGCCGAAUGGUUGUUCGAUUGCCACCUUAGCGCCAGAGUUGUUCUCCUUCGUCAAGGACUCUGGCCGUUCUGUCCGUGAGGCCUUGCAUAACCAAUCCUGGACAAGAGAAAUCGAAGGCGGCAUAUCUGUGCAGGCGCUCGCCCAGUACCUAUCUGUCUGGGAUAUGGUGCAGGCCACCAAUCUUACGCCAGGUACGCGGGAUCGGGCAAUCUGGAAGCUUACUAAGGAACAAGUUUUUACGGUCAGCAGCGCGUACAGACUGCUCUUCAUGGCUAAUGUGUGUUUUGCCUAGGAGUGGUGGCUCCAGGCCAGAGCUGGCGUUCCUAAACCGAUGCGUCACAACUUCGACACUAUUACUAUUCUCAUGCACUAGAGGCUGUGGAAGGAGAGGAACUCCAGGAUUUUUGACCAGGUGGCAAGCAGCGCCGACAGGGUGCUGGAUUUGGUCUGUGAAGAUAUUGCUGUUUGGCGUGCGGCCGGUUGUAUUGUCGAGCUCGGAGCCUAA
rnacentral:rRNA from 1 species